rfam:Freshwater sediment metagenome lwMethylamine_BCHP15411_g1, whole genome shotgun sequence.
CAAGUCCUACCCCGGGAGGAGUCCGCCCCCGGGAAGUCCAGUCCUUGCGUCGCGCGGGUGACUUGCGCGGCGAAGCGUAGGAGGGCGGAUGAGCGGGCCGGGCAAUCGAACCUCGAAAAUGCUGUCACCGUGUGCGCCAACGCACUCCUGUAAUGCGGAUGGCCAUGACGAUGCGCCGACAAGUGCGGACGUGGAAGCAUCGUGCACACCGGGGUCUAAGAGUU